rnacentral:rRNA from 1 species
UGGCUGGUGUUCUAACGUAGACCCGUGAUCCGGGUUGCGGACAGUGUCUGGUGGGUAGUUUGACUGGGGCGGUCUCCUCCCAAAGAGUAACGGAGGAGCACGAAGGUUAGCUAAUCCUGGUCGGACAUCAGGAGGUUAGUGCAAUGGCAUAAGCUAGCUUGACUGCGAGAGUGACGGCUCGAGCAGGUGCGAAAGCAGGUCAUAGUGAUCCGGUGGUUCUGAAUGGAAGGGCCAUCGCUCAACGGAUAAAAGGUACUCCGGGGAUAACAGGCUGAUACCGCCCAAGAGUUCAUAUCGACGGCGGUGUUUGGCACCUCGAUGUCGGCUCAUCACAUCCUGGGGCUGAAGUAGGUCCCAAGGGUAUGGCUGUUCGCCAUUUAAAGUGGUACGCGAGCUGGGUUUAGAACGUCGUGAGACAGUUCGGUCCCUAUCUGCCGUGGGCGCUGGAGAAUUGAGGGGGGCUGCUCCUAGUACGAGAGGACCGGAGUGGACGCAUCACUGGUGUUCGGGUUGUCAUGCCAAUGGCACUGCCCGGUAGCUAAAUGCGGAAGAGAUAAGUGCUGAAAGCAUCUAAGCACGAAACUUGCCCCG